UGGGGAAUCUUGGACAAUGGGCGCAAGCCUGAUCCAGCCAUGCCGCGUGGAUGAUGAAGGCCUUAGGGUUGUAAAAUCCUUUCGCCGAGGACGAUAAUGACGGUACUCGGAGAAGAAGCUCCGGCUAACUUCGUGCCAGCAGCCGCGGUAAUACGAAGGGGGCUAGCGUUGUUCGGAUUUAUUGGGCGUAAAGCGCGUGUAGGCGGGUCGUUAAGUUGGGGGUGAAAUCCCGAGGCUCAACCUCGGAACUGCCUUCAAAACUGGCGACCUGGACCUAAGUAGAGGCAAGUGGAAUUGCGAGUGUAGAGGUGAAAUUCGUAGAUAUUCGCAGGAACACCAGUGGCGAAGGCGACUUGCUGGACUUAUGGUGACGCUGAGACGCGAAAGCGUGGGGAGCAAACAGGAUUAGAUACCCCCGUAGUCCCUGAGCGGGCUGGCAAGGCGCAU
rnacentral:rRNA from 1 species